rnacentral:rRNA from 1 species
AACGAACGCUGGCGGCAUGCCUAACACAUGCAAGUCGAACGAGACCUUCGGGUCUAGUGGCGCACGGGUGCGUAACGCGUGGGAACCUGCCCUUAGGUUCGGAAUAACUCCCUGAAAGGGGUGUUAAUACCGGAUAAUGUCUUCGGACCAAAGAUCUAUCGCGUUUGGAUGGGCGCGCGUUGGAUUAGCUGGUUGGUAGGGUAAUAGCCUACCAAGGCCAUGAUGCUUAGCUGGUGGGUGAGGAUGCUAUGGCACACUGGCACUGAGGCCCGGCCCAGACUCGUACGCAAGGCAGCAGAGGGGAAUAUAGGAGGAUGGGCGCAAGCCUGAUACAGCAAUGCCGCGUGAGUGAUGAAGGGCUUAGGGUUGUAAAGCUCUUUUACCCGGGAUGAUAAUGACGGUACCGGGAGAAUAAGCACCGGCUAACUCCGUG